CCUUCGGGAACGUCUGACACAGGUGCUGCAUGGCUGUCGUCAGCUCGUGUCGUGAGAGUGUUGGGUUAAGUCCGUAACGAGCGCAACCCUGUCCUUAGUUACCAGCACGUUAUGGUGGGCACUCUAAGGAGACUGCCGGUGACAAACCGGAGGAAGGUGGGGAGUGACGUCAAGUCAUCAUGGCCCUUACGGCCUGGGCUACACACGUGCUACAAUGGUCGGUACAAAGGGUUGCCAAGCCGCGAGGUGGAGCUAAUCCCAUAAAACCGAUCGUAGUCCGGAUCGCAGUCUGCAACUCGACUGCGUGAAGUCGGAAUCGCUAGUAAUCGUGAAUCAGAAUGUCACGGUGAAUACGUUCCCGGGCCUU
rnacentral:rRNA from 1 species